rnacentral:sRNA from 1 species
GGAGCGGCAAGUCCCUGAACAAGGAGUGGAAGAAGAAGUAUGUGACGCUCUGUGACAACGGGCUGCUCACCUAUCACCCCAGCCUGCAUCAAGGGUCUCGCCUGAACCCCAAGGGCAUCGGGACUGGUGACUCACCUAUGGAUGGGGGCCGGGGAGACAGGACACACAGAAGAUGAGUUCGUGGGCCAGCCCUGAGCCCCGCGCCCGAUUCUCGCCGGCCCAAGAGAGCCCGCCGCAGCCUCCCCCAUUUUGCAGCCAGCGGAGCCAUUCACACAAUCACCUUCUGUUAAUUCUAUCUGCAACA